rnacentral:tRNA from 1 species
GUCGGCCGUGCUGUACCUGGUGCAGGUCGGGCUGGUGAUCCGGCGUGGUUGACCCGUCGCGCUCGCUGGGCGGGUUCGAGCCUCACGUCGGGCUC